UUUUAACGAGAGUUUGAUCCUGGCUCAGGAUGAACGCUGGCGGCGUGCUUAACACAUGCAAGUCGAACGAAGCACUUUUAUUUGAUUUCUUCGGAAUGAAGAUUUUAGUGACUGAGUGGCGGACGGGUGAGUAACGCGUGGGUAACCU
rnacentral:rRNA from 1 species